AGUGAACGCUGGCGGUAGGCCUAACACAUGCAAGUCGAACGAGUGGCGGACGGGUGAGGAAUACAUCGGAAUCUACUCUGUCGUGGGGGAUAACGUAGGGCCACUUACGCUCAUACCGCAUACGAUUGAUUGAGCCGAUGUCGGAUUAGCUAGUUGGCGGGGUAAAGGCACACAAAGGCGACGAUCCGUAGCUGGUCUGAGAGGAUAAUCGGCAACACGGGAACUGAGACCCGGUCCAGAUGCCUACGGGAGGCAGCAGUGGGGAAUAUUGGACAAUGGGCGCAAGCCUGAGCCAGCGAUACCGCGUGGGUGAAGAAGGCUUUCGGGUUGUAAAGCCCUUUUGUUAGGAAAGCGGUACCCAAAGAAUAAGCACCGGCUAACUCCGUGCCAGCUGCCGCGGUAAUUC
rnacentral:rRNA from 1 species